CAUCAGCCGCGGGAAUACGGAGGGCGCGAGCGUUACCCGGAUUUACUGGGCGUAAAGGGCGUGUAGGCGGCCUGGGGCGUCCCAUGUGAAAGGCCACGGCUCAACCGUGGAGGAGCGUGGGAUACGCUCAGGCUGGAGGGUGGGAGAGGGUGGUGGAAUUCCCGGAGUAGCGGUGAAAUGCGCAGAUACCGGGAGGAACGCCGAUGGCGAAGGCAGCCACCUGGUCCACUUCUGACGCUGAGGCGCGAAAGCGUGGGGAGCAAACCGGAUUAGAUACCCCCGUAGUCCCUGUCUCUUAUAC
rnacentral:rRNA from 1 species